CCUCCCCAAAGUUAGUACCAAUAUCCUCGCCGUAGCACUUUCCUUACACUUCUGGUGAAUAACACACUCGUUUGCCAUUGUAGGAUGAUUAACACCUCGCAAAGGUUCAUUGCUUGCCAUAAGGGUUGCUCCCCUAUACGGACUUCAAUGCUGUCCAGAGAGCAUAUAGUAGGCACUUCCCUGAACAGUCAUUUGUCCCACACACUCGGGUGAGUCUAGUGUGGGCUACCAGCAAAAGCAUGAG